UACGUAGGUGGCAAGCGUUGUCCGGAUUUACUGGGUGUAAAGGGCGUGUAGCCGGGCUGACAAGUCAGAUGUGAAAUCCCGUGGCUCAACCACGGAACUGCAUUUGAAACUGUCGGUCUUGAGUAUCGGAGAGGCAGGCGGAAUUCCUGGUGUAGCGGUGAAAUGCGUAGAUAUCAGGAGGAACACCGGUGGCGAAGGCGGCCUGCUGGACUGCAACAGACGUUGAGGCCCGAAAGCGUGGGGAGCAAACAGG
rnacentral:rRNA from 1 species